rnacentral:rRNA from 1 species
AACGAACGCUGGCGGCAUGCCUAACACAUGCAAGUCGAACGAGACCUUCGGGUCUAGUGGCGCACGGGUGCGUAACGCGUGGGAAUCUGCCCCUCGGUUCGGAACAACAGUUAGAAAUGACUGCUAAUACCGGAUAAUGACGAAAGUCCAAAGAUUUAUCGCCGAGGGAUGAGCCCGCGUAGGAUUAGCUUGUUGGUGGGGUAAUGGCCCACCAAGGCGACGAUCCUUAGCUGGUCUGAGAGGAUGAUCAGCCACACUGGGACUGAGACACGGCCCAGACUCCUACGGGAGGCAGCAGUGGGGAAUAUUGGACAAUGGGCGAAAGCCUGAUCCAGCAAUGCCGCGUGAGUGAUGAAGGCCUUAGGGUUGUAAAGCUCUUUUACCAGGGAUGAUAAUGACAGUACCUGGAGAAUAAGCUCCGGCUAACUCCGUGCCAGCAGCCGCGGUAAU